GGAGGUAGUGACAAUAAAUCACAAUGCGGAACUUUUAGUUUUGCAAUUGGAUUGAGAACAAUGUACAAAUGUUAUCGAUAAACAAUUGGAGGGCAAGUCUGGUGCCAGCAGCCGCGGUAAUUCCAGCUCCAAUAGCGUAUAUUAACGUUGUUGCAGUUAAAAAGCUCGUAGUUGAAAUGUGGGAUGAAGUAUAUAAUGAAUUUCUAAUUCAAUUGUAUAUUGAUUCCCCUCUCCAAUUUAUUAUUAUGGGUAUUAAUUUAUUUGUAAUAAGAAUUGGUCAUUUACUGUGAGAAAAUUAGAGAGUUCAAAGCAGGCAUUUGCUUGAAUAGAUUAGCAUGGAAUAAUACUAAAAGGCUUUUAUGGUCGAUUUAAUUGGUUUGUUCAUAAAAGCAAGAUUAAAAGGAACAGUUGGGGGUAUUCAUAUUCAAUAGUUAGAGGUGAAAUUCUCGGAUUUAUGGAAGAUGAACAAGUGCGAAAGCAA
rnacentral:rRNA from 1 species